rnacentral:other from 2 species
AGAUUUCUGAAAUACACGACAAGCUCUUAUUUUGAACCUACAGUACUUAAAAGGGAGUCUUAUAUUUUGAUGCUGAUUUGUAGACCUGUAAGUCCUAAUGAGGCAUGGAGAGAUUGAAACAUUAAUGCGGACACCCACCUAUCUAAUGGAUAGGUGUCAAAAUCAGGGCAACGGUAUUUUGGAGCUAAC